rnacentral:lncRNA from 1 species
GUACAAUAAGAACUUCAAGACACUGAGGAAAGAAAUUGAAGAAGACCUCAGAAGAUGGAAAGAUCUCCCAUGCUCAUGGAUUGGCAGGAUUAAUAUGGUAAAAAUGGCCAUUUUACCAAAAGCAAUCUACAGAUUCAAUGCAAUCCCCAUCAAAACACCAAUCCAAUUCUUCAAAGAGUUAGACAGAACAAUUUGCAAAUUCAUCUGGAAUAACAAAAAACCCAGGAUAGCUAAAGCUAUCCUCAACAAUAAAAGGACUUCAGGGGGAAUCACUAUCCC